GGAGAGGUGGCCGAGCGGCUGAAGGCAGCUGCCUGCUAAGCAGUUGAACGUGUGAGCGUUCCCUGGGUUCGAAUCCCAGCCUCUCCG
rnacentral:tRNA from 1 species